rnacentral:rRNA from 1 species
CCAGACUCCUACGGGAGGCAGCAGUGGGGAAUAUUGCACAAUGGGGGGAACCCUGAUGCAGCAACGCCGCGUGGGUGAAGAAGUAUUUCGGUAUGUAAAGCCCUAUCAGCAGGGAAGAAGAUGACGGUACCUGACUAAGAAGCCCCGGCUAAAUACGUGCCAGCAGCCGCGGUAAUACGUAUGGGGCAAGCGUUAUCCGGAUUUACUGGGUGUAAAGGGAGCGCACGCGGCGCGGCAAGUCAGAUGUGAAAGCCCGGGGCUCAACCCCGGGACUGCAUUUGAAACUGCCGUGCUGGAGUGUCGGAGAGGCAAGUGGAAUUCCUAGUGUAGCGGUGAAAUGCGUAGAUAUUAGGAGGAACACCAGUGGCGAAGGCGGCUUGCUGGACUGUAACUGACGUUGAGGCUCGAAAGCGUGGGGAGCAAACAGGAUUAGAUACCCCAGUAC